CGGCUUUCACGGGUCCAGGGAAUUAGGGUUCGAUUCUGGAGAAGGAGCCUGAGAACGGCUACUACAUCUACGGAAGGCAGCCUUCGCCCGUAAAUUACCCAAUACUGACUCAGGGAGGUGGUGACAAGAUAUAAUGACGCUAUGAAAAAUAGUGAUUAUAGUGAGGGUAUUCCAAACCGAACCACAAGUACGAUUAGAGGGCAAGUCUGGUGCCAGCAGCCGCGGUAAUUCCAGCUCUAAUAGCGUAUAUUAAAGUUGCUGCAGUUAAAAAGCUCGUAGUUGGAUUUCAGUUACACGUUUUCCUCCGGAAUAUGUGCCCUACUAGCCCUUUCGGCUGUUACUGUGAGAAAAUUAGAGUGUUUAAAGCAAGCUUUUGCAGACUACAUUAGCAUGGAAUAACGAAUGAGUCUAGAAUCUAGGUACUCCAGCCCCCGCCCAAAGAGACAGUUGGGGGCAUUAGUAUUUAAUUGUCCGAGGUGAUAUUCUUGGAUUUGUUAAAGACUACGUAUGCGAAAGCAUUUGCCAACGCUCGCUUUCCUUAUUCAGACGAAAGAUAGGGGAUCAAGACAUCAGAUACUGUCGUAGUCCUAUCUAUAACCUAUGCCGACUAGGGAUUGGAUGAAUCACCAUUUCAGUACUUAUGGAAAUCAGUCUUUGGUUCUGGGGGGAGUUGUCGCAGACUGACUAGAUGACGAGACACCGAGUGACCUGCGCUUAUUUGACUCACAC
rnacentral:rRNA from 1 species